rnacentral:rRNA from 1 species
GACGAACGCUGGCGGCGUGCUUAACACAUGCAAGUCGAACGGUAAGGCCCUGCAUUUGUGGGGUGCUCGAGUGGCGAACGGGUGAGUAUCACGUGAGUAACCUGCGCUUUACUUUGGGAUAACUUCAGGAAACUGGGGCUAAUAUCCGACAUAAACUCCUUCUACAUGGUGUGUGUUGGAAAGUUGCGGCGUUUUGGGAUGGACUCGCGGCUUAUCAGCGUGUUGGUGGGGUAGUGGGUUACCAAGGCUUUGACGGGUAGCCGGCCUGAGAGGGUGACCGGCCACAAUGGGACUGAGAUACGGCCCAGACUCCUACGGGAGCCAGCAGUGGGGAAUAGUGCAAGAUGGGCGGAAGCCUGAUGCAGCAACGCCGCGUGCGAGAUGACGGCCUUCGGGUUGUAACCCGCUUUAGCCUGUGAAGAAGAGUGAGUGACGGUAAUGAGUAAAGAAGCGACGGCUAACUACGCG